rnacentral:tRNA from 1 species
GGGCUGGGGCUCAGUGGUAGAGAACUUGCCUCACGUGCAUGAGACACUGGGUUCAAUCUUCAGCACCACA